rfam:Crocosphaera watsonii WH 8501 ctg270, whole genome shotgun sequence.
GGAGAGGUGGCAGAGUGGUCGAACGCGCCCGACUUGAAAUCGGGUUUGGUUAAUAGCCAACGUGGGUUCGAAUCCCACCCUCUCCG